GAUCUAACUUUUUUAUGUUUAUAUCAUGCAAAGGAGGACAAAUAUGGCUCAAAUUCUCUUUUAUGUUUGUGCUUUUAUCAUCCUUUUUUCUCCAUUAAUUGCUCAACGUAUAGUGGUAACAGAUCCAAACUGUACUUUUGACACUGAUUGUGACCAUGAUGUAACAGCUAUUGCUACGCAUUGCGAUAAAGGGACCUGUGUGACGUAUUUCAGUGAUGACCCUGAGCCCUAAGUCUCUCUCUCUCUCUCUCUCUCUCCCCUCUCUCUGUGUGUGUGUGUGUGUCUUGCAUCUGCAACCAUCCAUAACCCUAAGUACUCAACUUCAUCUAUCACCAAAGGUAGUUGGUUUAGCCGUAAAUUUGAUCAGAAAUCACCCAUUUUAAUCAUUUUGUUUUCUUUUUUAUUUAAAUAUGUGAUCUUUUAAUAUAUUUAGUUAUUUUUGUGAUUUCUUCAUCUUAGUGUGAUGUUCGCCGUCUUGGUGUGGUUUUGUUUUGUUUUCUCGUCGUCUUGUUGUGGUGUUAGAUUACUUCAGAUUGUCAAAUCAAUUUCGAUCAAGUGCAGAUCCAAUCAAUGUCUAUUCCUGAGAUAUGGCUUCAGAUUAGCUUCGAUCAAGUACAUUUUCAUUACAAAUUCUGAGAUAUGGCUAUUCCAAACAACCGAAUAUAGUCAUAUUUGUAGGCUUAUGUAUUUUACCAUUUUAGGUUAUGAACAUGAAUGUUAUGAGUUUGUUCGCAAAUUUAUCAUUUUUGUUUUUAGUGAA